rnacentral:rRNA from 1 species
UACAGAGGGUGCGAGCGUUAAUCGGAAUUACUGGGCGUAAAGCGUGCGUAGACGGUUAUGUAAGUCAGGUGUGAAAGCCCCGGGCUCAACCUGGGAAUUGCAUUUGAGACUGCAUAGCUAGGGUGCGGUAGAGGGAAGCGGAAUUUCCGGUGUAGCGGUGAAAUGCGUAGAUAUCGGAAGGAACAUCAGUGGCGAAAGCGGCUUCCUGGACCAGCACCGACGUUCAGGCACGAAAGCGUGGGGAGCAAACAGG